rnacentral:rRNA from 1 species
UUAAAUUAGUAAGAGCGUACGGUGGAUGUCUUGGCAUAUAGAGCAGAAGAAGGACGCAGAUAACGGCGAAACGCCUCGGGGAGUCGUACACAGGCAACGAUCCGGGGGUAUCCGAAUGGGGAAACCCGAUAAAGUUGAAAAGCUUUAUCAUCCUUAAGCCAAUACAUAACUUAAGAGAAGGCAACCCAGGGAAUUGAAACAUCUUAGUACCUGGAGGAGAAGAAAAUAACAAUGAUUCCGAGAGUAGUGGCGAGCGAAAUCGGAGCAGCCCAAACCAGCAACGAGCUGGGGUAGUAGGACCACGACAAGUGAUUGAAAAGGGAUAGUCGAAUGGCAUUGAAAGGUCAGCCGCAGAAGGUGCAAGCCCUGUAGGCGAAAUCCCGAUUCACGCGAGUGGUAUCCUGAGUACGUCGGAGCACGUGAAACUCUGACGGAAUCGACCGGGACCAUCCGGUAAGGCUAAAUACUCCUAUAUGACCGAUAGUGAACCAGUACCAUGAGGGAAAGAUGAAAAGAACCGCGGGAGCGGAGUGAAAUAGAUCCUGAAACCGUAUGCUUACAAAAAGUCAGAGCACAUUAAGGUGUGAUGGCGUGCCUUUUGUAGAAUGAACCGGCGAGUUAUCUUUGCAUGCGAGGUUAAGCAGACAAUGCGGAGCCGUAGCGAAAGCGAAUCUUAAUAGGGUGACAAGUAUGUAGAGAUAGACCCGAAGCCGUAGUGAUCUAGUCAUGAGCAGGUUGAAGGCUGGGUGAAUCCAGCUGGAGGACCGAACCGACCCCCGUUGAAAAGUUGGCGGAUGACUUGUGAUUAGCGGAGAAAUUCCAAUCGAACACGGCGAUAGCUGGUUCUCCCCGAAAUAGCUUUAGGGCUAGCGUUGAACGGAUCUACCCGGAGGUAGAGCACUGAAAUCAUGCGGGCGGCAUCUCGCCGUACCAAAUGAUAUCAAACUCCGAAUGCCGGGCAAGAAUAUUCAACAGUCAGACUGUGGGUGAUAAGGUCCAUGGUCAAAAGGGAAACAGCCCAGAUCAUCAGAUAAGGUCCCAAAAUUUACGCUAAGUGGAAAAGGAUGUGGAGACGCGCAAACAGCUAGGAGGUUGGCUCAGAAGCAGCCAUCCUUCAAAGAGUGCGUAACAGCUCACUAGUCGAGUAUCUCUGCGCCGAAAAUUAACCGGGGCUAAGCGUAAUACCGAAUCUAUGGAUUUAUACUUAGGUAUAAGUGGUAGGGGAGCGUUCCAUACAGCAUUGAAGGUAUACCGUAAGGAGUGCUGGAGCGUAUGGAAGUGAGAAUGCCGGUGUGAGUAGCGAGAUGUGGGUGAGAAUCCCACACACCGAACAACCAAGGUUUCCAGGGGAAGGUUCGUCCGCCCUGGGUAAGUCGGGACCUAAGGCCAGGCCGAAAGGCGUAGUCGAUGGACAGCAGGUUGAUAUUCCUGCACCCGCGAGUAAAGUGAUGGAGUGACAGAUAGGGUUAGCCCUAGUCCUUAAUGGAUUGGGCAAGGCAAGCAGGAGAGUGGCGUAGGCAAAUCCGCGCCGGAUACUCAAAGGCUUGACUCAAGCGAACGCGCGAGCAAGUAGUGAAGAGGGUGAUACCAGGUCUCAAGAAAAGCUUCUAGCGAUAAUUUACUAGCGGCCCGUACCAAAACCGACACAGGUGGUUGAGGCGAGUAGCCUAAGGUGAGCGAGAGAACUGUUGCCAAGGAACUCGGCAAAUUGACCCCGUACGUUAGCAAUAAGGGGUGCUCGAAAGAGCCGCAGUGAAUAGGCCCUAGCAACUGUUUAACUAAAACAUAGCUCUCUGCGAAGUCGCAAGACGAAGUAUAGGGGGUGACACCUGCCCGGUGCUGGAAGGUCAAGGGGAUUUGUCAGACGCAAGUCGAAGCAUUGAACCGAAGCCCCAGUGAACGGCGGCCGUAACUAUAACGGUCCUAAGGUAGCGAAAUUCCUUGUCGGGUAAG